CCUACGGGAGGCAGCAGUGAGGAAUAUUGGGCAAUGGGCGCGAGCCUGAACCAGCCAAGUAGCGUGAAGGAUGACUGCCCUACGGGUUGUAAACUUCUUUUAUAAAGGAAUAAAGUGAGGCACGUGUGCCUUUUUGCAUGUACCUUAUGAAUAAGGAUCGGCUAACUCCGUGCCAGCAGCCGCGGUAAUACGGAGGAUCCGAGCGUUAUCCGGAUUUAUUGGGUUUAAAGGGAGCGUAGAUGGGUUGUUAAGUCAGGUGUGAAAGUGUGCGGCUCAACCGUAAAAUUGCAAUUGAUACUGGCAGCCUUGAGUGCAGGUGAGGUAGGCGGAAUUCGUGGUGUAGCGGUGAAAUGCUUAGAUAUCACGAAGAACUCCGAUUGCGAAGGCAGCUUACUAGACUGCAACUGACGUUGAUGCUCGAAAGUGUGGGUAUCAAACAGGAUUAGAUACCCCAGUAGUC
rnacentral:rRNA from 1 species